rnacentral:rRNA from 1 species
GUAGGUGGCAAGCGUUGUCCGGAAUUAUUGGGCGUAAAGCGCGCGCAGGCGGUUCUUUAAGUCUGAUGUGAAAGCCCACGGCUCAAUCGUGGAGGGUCAUUGGAAACUGGAGAACUUGAGUACAGAAGAGGAAAGCGGAAUUCCACGUGUAGCGGUGAAAUGCGUAGAGAUGUGGAGGAACACCAGUGGCGAAGGCGGCUUUCUGGUCUGUAACUGACGCUGAGGCGCGAAAGCGUGGGGAGCAAACAGGAUUAGAUACCCUGGUAGUCCACGCCGUAAACGAUGAGUGCUAAGUGUUAGGGGGUUUCCGCCCCCCUUAGUGCUGCAGCUAACGCAUUAAGCACUCCGCCUGGGAGUACGGCCGCAAGGCUG